rnacentral:lncRNA from 1 species
UUUUAAGAAGGCUGAAAAGGACAGGCAAUUACAGGAAGGUUAGGUGCGCCUGAUUGGAUGUUGUUACAAAUCACUCAUUGUCAUACAAGGCAUUUGGAAAGGAGGCCAUCGGGGACUGAUUGCCGUUUAGGACCUGUGGGCUGUGCCUUCUCCUACAGGACCUCACACCAGGCCUCA